GCCUAGGUAGCGCAGUAGGCUAGCGCGUCAGUCUCAUAAUCUGAAUGUCGUGAGUUCGACCAUCACCCUGGGCA
rnacentral:tRNA from 1 species